AUGAUUGUGCUCAUAGCUCUAUAAAAGGUAUUUACCCUACCUAAUUUAACUAUGAGCACUAAAAA
rfam:Marine metagenome ctg_1101667035129, whole genome shotgun sequence.